GCAGUCGUGGCCGAGUGGUUAAGGCGGUGGACUAGAAAUCCAUUGGGGUCUCCCCGCACAGGUUCGAAUCCUGUCGACUGCG
rnacentral:tRNA from 3 species